AGAGUUUGAUCCUGGCUCAGAACGAACGCUGGCGGCAGGCUUAACACAUGCAAGUCGAGCGCCUCGCAAGAGGAGCGGCAGACGGGUGAGUAACGCGUGGGAAUCUACCUAUCUCUACGGAACAACUCCGGGAAACUGGAGCUAAUACCGUAUACGCCCUUCGGGGGAAAGAUUUAUCGGGGAUAGAUGAGCCCGCGUUGGAUUAGCUAGUUGGUGGGGUAAUGGCCUACCAAGGCGACGAUCCAUAGCUGGUCUGAGAGGAUGAUCAGCCACAUUGGGACUGAGACACGGCCCAAACUCCUACGGGAGGCAGCAGUGGGGAAUAUUGGACAAUGGGCGCAAGCCUGAUCCAGCCAUGCCGCGUGAGUGAUGAAGGCCCUAGGGUUGUAAAGCUCUUUCAACGGUGAAGAUAAUGACGGUAACCGUAGAAGAGCCC
rnacentral:rRNA from 1 species